rnacentral:lncRNA from 1 species
GUGGGGAUGGAUGGGGAGAUUUUUUUUCAUACCUAUCAGAAAAAAACAUCUUGAAAAACUACCUAUCAGAUCUAUAAAUUAAGACCUAUCAGAUGUAGAGUUUCUGUUCAUAUUGGAUGGAUGGGCUUUCAUGGUAAAAAUUGACCUAUCAGAAUUUUUUACUGCAAGGAUUGUACCCAUCAGAAUUUUAAAUACAAUACCAGAUAAUGCAUGAUACGAAACUUUCUACAUUCCAAAGCAC